AUUGAACGCUGGCGGCAGGCCUAACACAUGCAAGUCGAGCGGGGUUUUCGGACCUAGCGGCGGACGGGUGAGUAAUGCGUAGGAAGCUACCCGAUAGAGGGGGAUACCAGUUGGAAACGACUGUUAAUACCGCAUAAUGUCUACGGACCAAAGUGUGGGACCUUCGGGCCACAUGCUACCGGAUGCGCCUACGUGGGAUUAGCUAGUUGGUGGGGUAAUGGCUCACCAAGGCGACGAUCCCUAGCUGGUUUGAGAGGAUGAUCAGCCACACUGGAACUGAGACACGGUCCAGACUCCUACGGGAGGCAGCAGUGGGGAAUAUUGCACAAUGGGCGCAAGCCUGAUGCAGCCAUGCCGCGUGUAUGAAGAAGGCCUUCGGGUUGUAAAGUACUUUCAGCGGGGAGGAAGGUGUUGAGGUUAAUAACCUCAGCAAUUGACGUUACCCGCAGAAGAAGCACCGGCUAACUCCGUGCCAGCCGCCGCCGUAAUAC
rnacentral:rRNA from 1 species